GAAUCCCUGAAACAUACACUUCAUUUUGUCCAGGCUUCUAUUCCUGCUGAGAGUAAUUUGGUCAGGCAGAGAGUUUACAGGGAAAGGGUACCCACUGUCAUAACUUCUCAGGACAACAGACUGGCCCCCAGGACUCGCUGCAGCCUUGGUGAACUCCCGCUCCUGCGGGUCCUGGCUGUAAUCAAAAGUCUGCAGCAUGUGCCCUUCCUUUCCACAGGCCACAGUCUUCCGGUCACAGCCAGCAGCCACAAUGCUACUGGUUGCCCAAGCCAAGGCAUACAGUGGGCAUGGGUGGUUAACCAGCUUCCCUUCAGACAGAAGGAAAGGGUUUCAGUCAUACUUUUAGGGCUCCAACCCAGAAAUUCCUCAUCCAGACACCAAGGACACAGGUUGGGAAGCAGAAGGGUGGAUGCUUCAUACUUGCUGGGAAACGGAGUAGCCAAUGAAGAUGCUGCCUUCUGGGACGUCCAAGGACACAGUGGCCGAGUUGGCUUGGGGCUGUCUGGGUAUGAGGCAGCUAUGCCGAUCACAGAGAAGUCAAAUCCACUGACCUGGGACUUGGACAAAGCAGAUGCUGGGAAAAUCGUUCAGUUGCUGGGGCAGUGUGAUGCUGAGAUCUUCCAGGAGAAGGGGCAAGGCAUGCCUGCCUACCAGUUAACCCAGGCUCAUCCCCUGGACACCGAGAAGAAAGAUGCCUUCCCCAUCUCCGCCUCAGCCUCUGCCCUCCCAGACCAUUUCUCCUGGUUUGGAAACUCUGAGAGCCCUUUCUCCUUCCACUGCAAUUUACACCCUCCUUUCUUGGCUUCUGAUUUCCACCUGCUCCCUGCAGCGACUGUACAGCGAAUCAGUUCUGACCACCAUGCUGCAAGUGGCCGGGAAAGUGCAGGAAGUGCUGAAGGAGCCAGAUGGGGGGCUGGUGGUGCUGAGUGGAGGGGGCACCUCUGGAUGGAUGACAUUCCUCAUGUCGGUGUGGCUCCAGCCAUAGCUUUGAUGUGUUUUCAUUCUCUGCAUUGACUUCAAGAGCCCAGCCCUGUUGACUUCCUGCAGUAUUUCUACCUUAGCUGUCUAUGUCAACUUGAUGCGCUUCCUAGGGAGGAAAUGUAAUAAAAUCACGUUUCUUUUUACUUUUUGAGACAGGAUCUCACUGUAUUGCCUGUUCUGUGAACUUGGGAUCCUCCUGCCUCAGCCCUGCAUCCUACCCCCAGUAGCUGGAACUUCAGGUGCCCCCUGCAGGUGUGCCCUUGCACUCACACAGGCCAUGAUUUUUUUUUUUCUGUUGAAGUUAUUUUAUUUUAUUUUUUUAUUUUUUGGUAUAUCCUUUUAUCAGUACAUUUUAGGUGUACAAUAUAAUGACAUUCAUCAUUGGAAAUUUGCACCUUUACAUACUCUCUUGGUUCUUAUUUAUUCCCCAUUCCCCUACCCUCCCUUCAACCCCUCCAUCCCUCCCUAUUUACAAAGACUUUGUUUCCUUUUUUUCAUUUUCUCAUUAAUUCCAUUCCCUUCUUUCCUUUCCCCUACCCCUCCCACUUCCCCCGCCCCUUUGCCCCU
rnacentral:lncRNA from 1 species